UCAUUCUUUUUUUGGCCACCAGCUUGGGCAAGUGCUAUCUGUCACUAAGGGGGGAGAAAGGCGCGUUACACUGGGUUCCCCAACAAAUAAAGAAGUAUAGUAGUAAUAUAGUAAAAGUGUUAUUAUUACUUUUUUUACUUAAUAUAAUUAGAAAA
rnacentral:ribozyme from 1 species